UAAUAAUUAUAGGUAUCGACCCAUAGAAGGUGAAAGUCCUGUAUGUGAUGAAACUAGAAAAGUAAUUAAGUAAUAUGAGGACGUCAGCCUUGUAUGAAUAAGGGGGUACCAUCCUCCAAGGCUAAGUAUAACAUAUCUAGCGAUAGUGAAGAGUAACGUGAGUGAAAGGUGAAAAGUAAGUAGAUGACUAGUGAAAUAGAACCUGAACUAGUAAUCCUAUAAGCAGUUGGAGUUUUUAGUAAAAAUGACAACGUACCUUUUGCAUAAUGGGUCAGCGAGUUAGUUUAUAGAGCAAGAUGAAUAAUCUAAGCGAAAGCGACUGUAAUAAGUGGAUCAAAAAUAGUUUUAUGAACUAGACCCGAAGCCAAAUGAUCUUACCAUGACCAGGCUAAAAAAGGGCCGAACAGGUGAAUGUUGCAAAAUUCUCUGAUGAGUUGUGGUAAGGGGUGAAAGGCCAAUCUAAUUUGGAUGAUAGCUGGUAUUCUGCGAAACCUAUUUAGGUAGGGCCUUUAUUUACACUUUUAUAUGUACAGCACUGAUCAUCAUACAUUAGCUAGAUAUUUAUAUCACUAUGUUAAAUUGGGGGGUCUCACAACUCUACCAUUGAUGGUUAACCUCGGAAGGAUAAUAGUGAAUGAUAAAGGCACAGUCUAUUCAUGAUAAGGUGGAUAGACAAAAGGGAAACAGCCCAGAGCACGUGUUAAGGUCCCAAAAUAUUGUUAAGUGAAUAUAAGAAAGUUUAACUCCUAAUACAACCAUGAAGUAGGCUUGGAGGUAGCCAUCUUUUAAUGAUAGUGUAACAACUCAGUGGUCUAAUUUGAGGAGAGAAGCGUCGAAAAUUAACGGGUCUUAGACAAUAUACCUACACCGUGACUAUUUAUAAUAAUAUCUAUUUUUAUUAUAAAUAAGGGUAGCAGAACACUCAGUAUCUGAUUGAAGGAAAAUGUUUCAUUUUCUGGACAGUACUGAAGAGAAAAUGCUGACAUGAGUAACGUAGAAAGGAGUUAAA
rnacentral:ncRNA from 1 species